UACAGCAGCCAUAUCACCCUGCAACUCACAACUGGUAACCCACUGAAGCUAAGCAGGUUGAGCCUGGUCAGUACCUGGAUGGGAGACCUCCUGGGAAAACUAAGGUUGCUGCUGGAA
ensembl:rRNA 5S_rRNA 5S ribosomal RNA